CUGUUUUAAAUUAAUUUCUUUAUUGUAUGUGUGUACAAUGUAAUAGCUAGUGUGGACGUUAAAGGGAAGCUUGUAGAAAUCAUUUCUCUUCUUAAACCAUGUGGGAUCUGGGACUGAACUCAGCUUGUCAAGCUUGGGGACAACUUUUUUUACCUGCUGAGCCAUUUCUCUGGCCCAACUUUAAAUUUUUAAAGUAAGAAACAUUAAUGUUAACAUGCAUUUGCCAGACACAGAAAUGCUUUUGACAAUUUAUAUAAAAUAUAUGCACAUAAGCUUAAAGAAUUUCUCCAAAGAAAACACACAAAUGUCAAAUAAACCCAACCUCACCAAUCAUUAGAAAAUGCAAUUAAUACAAUAAAGUGCCACCUCACAUACAAGGACAACAAUUUAAAAAACAACCACACAGAGAACUGAUGCUGUAAGUGCAGCUCAGUGGUGGCGAGCCUGUCUGUUUACAAAGCUCUGGUCUACUGCCACAAAACAACCAAACACCCAAAUGCCAGGAUGGGGGGAAUCUGGAAACCUUGAGUACAGCACUGGAAAAACAGCACAAUGGCUCUUUAACCAAUGUGUAACCAAUGACAUGUGGAAAUCUACUCCCGAGACUGUAUCAAACGCCCCAAAAGCAGAGCCCAGACAUCCACACACUCGUGUACAUGGCCACAUUACCCACAAUAGCCAAAACGCAGGCGGAACCAAAAUUUCAGCAAUGGUAGAUGAACAAAAUGCAGGGCAUACAUAGAAUGGAACUUUGUUAGGCUUAAAAAUAUAGAAAUGCGGGGUUGGGGAUUUAGCUCAGUGGUAGAGCGCUUGCCUAGCAAGCUCAAGGCCCUGGGUUUGGUCCUCAGCUCCGGAAAAAAAAAAUAGAAAUGCAAACACAAGCUAAGAUAUUAUGCAAUUUUAGUGAAAUUUAAGUGAAAUGAGUCAACCACAAAAAGGAAAAUUAUUAUUCCACUUACAUGGGGUAUCUAAAAUCGGCACCUUUAGACAUACGGAAAGGUGCUGGAAGAACAUACGGAAAGGUGCUGGAAGAAAAAGAAGGGGCGUCUGAUGUCUAAAAAGGCAGCUCGAGCACAGAGGUCAGUGUGCAGAUGGUGAUAUGUAGGAAGACAGCGCUCAGAAGACUCAUGUCCAUGGCUAACAAAAGGGGAAAAGGCAAAAGUGAGGACUGAGAGAAGGUGAGGUGGAGCGGGGUGAUGACCCGACAACAUGGUGACUACAGAGGGAGCCCACUGGAUUCCGUUGUCUUACCCCACUGAGCACAUGUAUAGUCAGCAGAGAAGGCUUACCUCUAUCGGAAGGUGGGCCAAAUAACUUAUAGAGGCCUUUAGGUGACAGGAUUACCCUGAGCCGAAAUUACCUUAUAUACACAGAGCACUGACAACCCAUGUCUACACUCAAGAGGGAAGAAUGGCCUCGUGACUUUACCCAUCAGGGUGACCACACUCUCUCAUUCCAGAGAAAGGCCCAAGAUGAUAAAAUCAUCUGGAGUAGGGAUGUUUGGAAUCACAUCAGGGCUUUGUAAAGCAAGAGCUCUAUCAGUGAACUCUAUCUCCUACCUUGUGGUUUUCAGGAUUCUGCAGAUGUUUUUCCUCACCCCCCACACCUCCCUGAAAAUACUUGGAAUAAGAAGCUACUCCAUCUUCUUCCCAUGAUGCUGUCCCAAGAACCAAAGAACGUCAGAGAAACAGUUCUCAACCACAAGCCAGCCACCACACUGACUACACUGCCUGCCUUCUGGGGGAAAUUCCCAGAAAUAGCUGAACAGCAGGGGCUGUAGCAGGCGAGGUACCUAGCAUCCUCUCAGUAAUAUAACACUUACCAGCCUUUGUGGCCAGGCCUGUGUCUGCUUUGCACCAAAUGACCAUCCAGUCCAGACUCUGUUCAUUCUACCAAUCAACUUUUUCUACACACAACAUACUUCCACUCUAGACAAGACUGAAACAGAACUCAGACACUUGGUUUCAGCAUAGCUAUCUGGAAGCCUUACACACCAAAGGCUGUUGGCUAACCUCUCUUAUCCUCCAGCAGUUAGACCACACCAUGACAUCAGGACAUCAAAUUCUCCUGACUGUUGUAUGACUUGAAUUACUUGUCACCUCGGCCAACAAAAAGCCAGAUCAUGAAGAAGGCCCUAACCAUUCAUUCAUCCGUAUUCCAACCAAAGACAGCUGAAUGUACAUGGGUUUCUAACAAGGACAGAAACUGACAAAAACAAAAUUAUCUACAGUAGCUUCAACCAGGAAGGCAAUCAGAUCAAGAGAUGAGCAGGGCCAGUGUGAGGUAUGUCUACAAAACAUUUGAGUUGUCAAAGAAUUCUCACCACAGUCCCAAAGGACUUGGAGGGCUCUCCUCAGACCAGCUGCACAGUGAGACUCUCCACACUUUGGCCCAAUACUUUUCUUUUUAGACAGGGUUCUCUAUGCACUCAUGGCUAUCUUGGGACUCACUCUAUAGACCAGGCUAAAGAGAUCUACCUGCCUCCGCCUCCUGAGUGCUGGGAUUAGGGGGAUGCCACUACCACCUCCCUGCUAGGUCAGAUACUUUGAGAGCUAUUUCAAUAUGAUUGGUACUUUUUUUGACCCUGGGAAAAGUUUCAGCUUCUGGAUCCACACUUUGAACUUUGGCAAAUCUCUUUUCCUCUCAACAGUUCUGGUUUUAACAACGCCAGGCCAAAGUCAAGCUUGUAACUGAAUGUUACUACUCUUGUAGUGACUUUGUUUCCACAAUUCACAAUUCGGACUUCCUAAAGUUAGGAUACAAGGCGACAGAACCGUUACUAAAUGUAAACUGGAGGCCAGGCAACCUGCUGCCCCCUGAAUCACAGAGACCGUUGUGGGGAACAAGCUAUCUUUCCAGCCAUGCUUCCUCUAUUCUAAAGCACAGGGAAAUCUCUUAAGAAGCAUCAGCUGCUGGUGCCCUGGUGCCCAAGUUCGCCAGGAAGAACCGUGGGUUUCAACGGUACCUCACACAAUGGUGGAUCUAAGACUCGACGCGCUACUGCCAACGGGAUGCCCCGCACACACAGGCCACAGGCUGGAAGGAUUUGCAGACUCUUUUGCCUGCCUCACCUGGACAUAGAAUGAGCAACAAAAAGCGUGCUAGCAACGCGUUCCCGCCUCAGUCAGAUCCUUCCCUGGAGUGUUUAGAGAAAGCUCAUUUUUUUUCUAGCGCCAAGACAGGCGGCUUGCUUAGGGGCGUGUUCUUCCAUCCUUUAGUGGAAAGCACCCACAUCUUUAAAACAAAACAAAAAAAGCAAAACAAAAAAAAAACAAAAAAACAAAAAAACCCAGUCACUUCUGGAAGAACCUUCCCUGUCGAGCCGACACCUACGUCUCAACUAUCCAGAAUCCCUGAUGUGUGCUCAAACUUGGCCCCCGCGGCCCGCGCUCCCGGGUGGCACGGCGGGACCAACCGCGCAGGCCGCGGCCUCCGGAGCCUGAAGCCGCGACGUCGCCCGGCUCGGUGCUCCUAGCUGCACAGCUUCCCUUUACAGAAACACACGGAGCAGGCACAGCGGGACAAACACUCCCCGAGAAGCUCUUCCCAACGGGCGGUGGACACGCGCGACACGCUGUCACCGUCCGCGGACUCCCGGGGGAAGCCUCACACCGGCUCGGGCCGCCCCUUAGGGCCACCGACCCCGCCGCCAUCUUCCUGCCGCGCCGCCCCCGGCCCUCGGCCCGCCGCCGCGCGCCCCCGCCGGCCCGCGCGCCCCCGCAGCCCGCGAGCCGCGCUCCGUGAGCGACGGUUAGGCGCGCGCCUCGAGCGGGCCCAGCGCGGAGGCCCUGCCGCCUUCGAGAAAUUUCCGCGCCCCUGAACCCACACUGGAAAAACAAGCCGGGCGCGCCCCCGCGCCGCGGCCUCAGCGCCC
ensembl:lncRNA